rnacentral:rRNA from 1 species
AUUGAACGCUGGCGGCAGGCCUAACACAUGCAAGUCGAACGAGUGGCGGACGGGUGAGUAGUGUCUGGGAAAAUGCCUGAUGGGGGGGGAAAACUACUGGAAACGGUAGCUAACAGCGUAAACCAUGGUAAGUGCCCAAGGGGGAUUAGAUAUUAGGUGGGGUAAAGGCUCCCCUAGGCGACGAUCCCUAGCGGGUCUGAGAGGAUGACCAGCCACACUGGAACUGAGACACGGUCCAGACUCCUACGUGAGGCAGCAGUGGGGAAUAUUGCACAAUGGGCGCAAGCCUGAUGCAGCCAUGCCGCGUGUAUGAAGAAGGCCUUCGGGUUGUAAAGUACUUUCAGCGGGGAGGCGUUACCCGCAGAAGAAGCACCGGCUAACUCCGUGCCAGCAGCCGCGGUAAUAC